rnacentral:sRNA from 1 species
CAGCAGCUACAUGUAUUGUACACGAGAUACUGACGCUAAAAUACAUGCCUAAUCCAAGAAAAACAGCAAGGCUGAAGAUUAUCCAUUCCACCAGAAAAACUCGGCCGCAGAACAACGAGAACAAUAGCCAAAAUUCAAAAAGUUACAGGGGACAAAGGCAGCCAAAAAAUGCGUUCAUCUCUAAAAAGAAGAAGAAAUAACGUAUAUGAUUGGCAUGUCUGUACGUGAGACAGAAAUCGGAUAACGAAAUACCCAAAAAUAAGGCAAAAUGAAAAAUAAAAUCAGAAAAAAAAUAUAUUACAUCGAACAACCUAAAGACUCAUCCCAAAGAACUGAUGAACCUUCAAACUCUGCCUCAUACUAAGGUCCAACAUAAUCUCCUCACUCCCGCCAGGGAUCGCAUAUGCGCGCACAUCCCGAUACAGCCGCUCAAUUUUACCCCCUUGACCCCCACGGGUAUAACUCAAACCACCAAAAAUCUGGCUGGCCUCGCGAGCGCAGAACUCAAAGGUAGUGGUUGAUU